rnacentral:rRNA from 1 species
UACGGAGGGAGCUAGCGUUGUUCGGAAUUACUGGGCGUAAAGCGCACGUAGGCGGCUUUGUAAGUUAGAGGUGAAAGCCCGGGGCUCAACUCCGGAACUGCCUUUAAGACUGCAUCGCUUGAAUCCAGGAGAGGUGAGUGGAAUUCCGAGUGUAGAGGUGAAAUUCGUAGAUAUUCGGAAGAACACCAGUGGCGAAGGCGGCUCACUGGACUGGUAUUGACGCUGAGG